rnacentral:rRNA from 1 species
AGUGAACGCUGGCGGUAGGCCUAACACAUGCAAGUCGAACGGCAGCACAGUAAGCGCUUGCUCUUACGGGUGGCGAGUGGCGGACGGGUGAGGCAUACAUCGGAAUCUACUUUUUCGUGGGGGAUAACGUGGGGCAACUUACGCUAAUACCGCAUACGACCUACGGGUGAAAGCAGGGGAUCUUCGGACCUUGCGCGAUUGAAUUAGCCGAUGUCGGAUUAGCUAGUUGGCGGGGUAAAGGCCCACCAAGGCGACGAUCCGUAGCUGGUCUGAGAGGAUGAUCAGCCACACUGGAACUGAGACACGGUCCAGACUCCUACGGGAGGCAGCAGUGGGGAAUAUUGGACAAUGGGCGCAAGCCUGAUCCAGCCAUACCGCGUGGGUGAAGAAGGCCUUCGGGUUGUAAAGCCCUUUUGUUGGGAAAGAAAAGCAGCAGGUUAAUACCCCGCUGUUCUGACGGUACCCAAAGAAUAAGCACCGGCUAACUUCGUG